AGGACGAACGCUGGCGGCGUGCUUAACACAUGCAAGUCGAGCGAGGCCCUUCCUUCGGGAAGGUGUCCUAGCGGCGAACGGGUGAGUAACACGUGGGCAACCUGCCCUCAGCUCUGGGAUAACUCCGGGAAACCGGGGCUAAUACCGGAUACGACCUCUAAGGGCAUCCGAAGAGGUGGAAAGUUUUUCGGCUGAGGAUGGGCCCGCGGCCUAUCAGCUUGUUGGUGGGGUGACGGCCUACCAAGGCGACGACGGGUAGCCGGCCUGAGAGGGUGACCGGCCACACUGGGACUGAGACACGGCCCAGACUCCUACGGGAGGCAGCAGUGGGGAAUAUUGCGCAAUGGGCGAAAGCCUGACGCAGCGACGCCGCGUGAGGGACGAAGGCCUUCGGGUUGUAAACCUCUUUCAUCCAUGACGAAGCGCAAGUGACGGUAGUGGAAGAAGAAGCACCGGCCAACUACGUGCCAGCAGCCGC
rnacentral:rRNA from 1 species